CAUGCCGUAAACGAUGAUCACUAGCUGUUUGCGAUAUAUUGUAAGUGGCAAAGGGAAACCAUUAAGUGAUCCACCUGGGGAGUACGCCCGCAAGGAUGAAACUCAAAGGAACUGACGGGGGCCCGCACAAGCGGAGGAACAUGUGGUUUAAUUCGAUGAUACGCGAGGAACCUUACCUGGAUUUAAAUGGGGAGUGACAGGCUUAGAGAUAGGUUUUUCUUCGGACACUCUUCAAGGUGCUGCAUGGUUGUCGUCAGCUCGUGCCGUGAGGUGUCGGGUUAAGUCCCAUAACGAGCGCAACCCACGUUGUUAGUUACCAGCAUGUAAUGAUGGGGACUCUAACAAGACUGCCGGUGUAAACCGC
rnacentral:rRNA from 1 species